rnacentral:rRNA from 1 species
AUUGAACGCUGGCGGCAGGCUUAACACAUGCAAGUCGAGCGGGGGAAGGUAGCUUGCUACCGGACCUAGCGGCGGACGGGUGAGUAAUGCUUAGGAAUCUGCCUAUUAGUGGGGGACAACAUCUCGAAAGGGAUGCUAAUACCGCAUACGUCCUACGGGAGAAAGCAGGGGAUCUUCGGACCUUGCGCUAAUAGAUGAGCCUAAGUCGGAUUAGCUAGUUGGUGGGGUAAAGGCCUACCAAGGCGACGACCUGUAGCGGGUCUGAGAGGAUGGUCCGCCACACUGGGACUGAGACACGGCCCAGACUCCUACGGGAGGCAGCAGUGGGGAAUAUUGGACAAUGGGGGGAACCCUGAUCCAGCCAUGCCGCGUGUGUGAAGAAGGCCUUAUGGUUGUAAAGCACUUUAAGCGAGGAGGAGGCUACUCUAGUUAAUACCUAGGGAUAGUGGACGUUACUCGCAGAGUAAGCACCGGCUAACUCUGUGCCAGCCGCCGCCGUAA